rnacentral:rRNA from 1 species
AGAGUUUGAUCAUGGCUCAGGACGAACGCUGGCGGCGUGGAUUAGGCAUGCAAGUCGCACGAGAAACAUUCCUUCGGGAAUGCAGACAGUGGCGAACUGGUGAGUAACACGUGAACAACCUGCCCUUACAUUCCGGAUAGCCAGCCGAAAGGCUGGAUAAUACGGGCGAGGAUCACGUCAAGGCAUCUUGAUGUGAAGGAAGGCGCAAGCCGUGCAAGGAGGGGUUCGCGGACUAUCAGGUAGUUGGUGAGGUAACGGCCCACCAAGCCGACGACGGAUAGCUGGUCUGAGAGGAUGAUCAGCCACACUGGGACUGAGACACUGCCCAGACUCCUACGGGAGGCUGCAGUCGAGAAUCUUGGACAAUGUACGAAAGUAUGAUCCAGCGACGCCGCGUGGAGGAUGAAGGAGCUCUGCUUCGUAAACUCCUUUUAUGGGGGAAGAAGAUCUGACGGUACCCCAUGAAUAAGCCACGGCUAACUACGUGCCAGCAGCCGCGGUAAUACGUAGGUGGCAAGCGUUGUCCGGAAUUACUGGGCGUAAAGGGUGCGUAGGCGGAAGUUUAAGUAGAAAGUGAAAGGUUGGAGCUCAACUCCAACAUUGCUUCCUAUACUGGACAUCUUGAGUUUCGGAGAGGAAGAUGGAACGACACGUGUAGCGGUGAAAUGCGUUGAUAUGUGUCGGAACACCAAUAGCGAAGGCAAUCUUCUGGACGAACACUGACGCUGAGGCACGAAAGCAUGGGUAGCGAACAGGAUUAGAUACCCUGGUAGUCCAUGCCCUAAACGAUGUUCACUAGGUGUCGGGGAUUUUUCUUCGGUGCCGCAGCUAACGCAUUAAGUGAACCGCCUGGGGACUACGACCGCAAGGUUGAAACUCAAAGGAAUUGGCGGGGGCCCGCACAAGCGGUGGAGCAUGUGGCUUAAUUCGAUGCAACGCGAAGAACCUUACCAGGGUUUGACAUGUAGCUGCAAGCUGCCGAAAAGCAGUCGCUUUCGAAGGUGCUACACAGGUGGUGCAUGGCUGUCGUCAGCUCGUGUUGUGAAAUGUUGGGUUAAGUCCCGCAACGAGCGCAACCCUCAUGUUCUGUUGCCAGCGAGUAAUGUCGGGAACUCGGAACAAACUGCCUCUGUAAAGAGGAGGAAGGUGGGGAUGACGUCAAGUCUUCAUGCCCCUUACACCCUGGGCUGCACACAUGCUACAAUGGCCGGUACAAAGAGCAGCGAUACCGCGAGGUGGAGCAAAUCUCAAAAAGCCGGUCUCAGUUCGGAUUGGAGUCUGCAACUCGACUCCAUGAAGUCGGAAUCGCUAGUAAACGCCGGUCAGCAACACGGCGUUGAAUACGUUCCCGGGCCUUGCACACACCGCCCGUCAAGCCACGAAAGUUGGUCUCUCCCGAAGUCGCCGAGCUAACCGCAAGGAGGCAGGCGCCGAAGGAGCGGUCGAUGAUUGGGACUAAGUCGUAACAAGGUAACC